AGUGAACGCUGGCGGUAGGCCUAACACAUGCAAGUCGAACGGCAGCACAGUAAGAGCUUGCUCUUACGGGUGGCGAGUGGCGGACGGGUGAGGAAUACAUCGGAAUCUACUUUUUCGUGGGGGAUAACGUAGGGAAACUUACGCUAAUACCGCUUACGACCUACGGGUGAAAGCAGGGGAUCUUCGGACCUUUCGCGAUUGAAUGAGCCGAUGUCGGAUUAGCUAGUUGGCGGGGUAAAGGCCCACCAAGGCGACGAUCCGUAGCUGGUCUGAGAGGAUGAUCAGCCACACUGGAACUGAGACACGGUCCAGACUCCUACGGGAGGCAGCAGUGGGGAAUAUUGGACAAUGGGCGCAAGCCUGAUCCAGCCAUACCGCGUGGGUGAAGAAGGCCUUCGGGUUGUAAAGCCCUUUUGUUGGGAAAGAAAAGCAGCAGGUUAAUACCCCGCUGUUCUGACGGUACCAAAAGAAUAAGCACCGGCUAACUUCGUG
rnacentral:rRNA from 1 species